rnacentral:rRNA from 1 species
GAUGAACGCUAGCGGCAGGCCUAAUACAUGCCAGUCGAACGGGAUCCAGAUCAAAGCUUGCUUUGGUCUGGUGAGAGUGGCGCACGGGUGCGUAACGCGUGAGCAACCUACCCUUGUCAGGGGGAUAGCCCGGCGAAAGUCGGAUUAAUACCGCAUGACAUCAUUGAGAGGCAUCUUUCGAUGAUCAAAGAUUUAUCGGACAAGGAUGGGCUCGCGUGACAUUAGCUAGUUGGUAAGGUAACGGCUUACCAAGGCUGCGAUGUCUAGGGGCUCUGAGAGGAGAAUCCCCCACACUGGUACUGAGACACGGACCAGACUCCUACGGGAGGCAGCAGUAAGGAAUAUUGGGCAAUGGACGGAAGUCUGAACCAGCCAUGCCGCGUGCAGGAGGACGGCCCUAUGGGUUGUAAACUGCUUUUAUACGGGAACAAACGUCGGUACGUGUACCGGUCUGAGUGUACCGUAAGAAUAAGGAUCGGCUAACUCCGUG